UCAGAAUUCCCAUCACCUCUCCGCAGGUCCUUGCAGCCUGGCCGGCCGCCCAGUCCAAGAGCGUGGGGAUGGGAUAUCUUGCCCUCCAUCAAGCGCCCGGGAAAAUUCCCUCCUGCAAAGACAGCUGAGCUGCGAGCAGGAAACUCAAGACCCCGCCGGCGCGGCUUCGGGGCCGCGGGCACAACUGGAUCCCGCGGAGCCGGAGGGAAUUCGGUCCUUGGCUCUCCCCUCCCCACCGCUGCCGGGCAAAACUCAACUUUUUCGUCCAGAUCGCGGCCGCUUACCUGCGGCGACCCAGCGGGCCAGCAGCGCCCCGAGAACGAAGGCAAGUCCAGGGCAGGAGAAAGACGAUCCCGGAGACCUCCCAGCCAAGACCAGCCGCGAGACUCCUGCGCUGCAGUUAACCGGCUGAGAGCGCAGUCGGAGCGAGGGCCGGGGGUCGGCGGAACUGGGUUCUCAGGGGCUUGUUUUCCCUGUUUAGUACCCCAACCCCCAUCCAGUCUGAUUCCCAGAGCCACAUUCCCGGGCUAAAAUCCAUGGCUGUCCGCCACACCCCCAUCCCAUCCUUCUGUCCCAGGGAAAACACGGUUAUGACAUCCUCAGGAAGAGCUGAUCCAUGAAACAGCUCUACCAGAAACUUCCUCUUAUAAAAGAAUGCAAUUAACACGGUAAAAUAUUAAUUGUAGACUCUAGGAGGUGGAUAUAUGUGUGUUCACAUUCUUUCAACUUUUCUCUGUUUGAAAAUGUCCCCAUCACCUCAUCAUAAAAUAUUGGGCAAAACCAAAAAUUGCUAUUAAGAAAUUGAUUUCUUCUGUUGCCCAAAGGCCUCUGAUUGAAAUACUUGUUCGGUGAUGAAAUCCUCUUGAAACCAGUAAAAAGAAAAGCGUGUUUCGCCUGAUGAACUGA